ACUCUCUCUCGAUCGACCACCUCCUCCGCCCCCAGUCCGCUGCGCCGCCUCCCUCGGUCCGACUCACCUCCGGCAGCCUCCCUCUGGUCCGGCCGUCCCCCGAUCUGAAUCCGUCUGCCCCACUCCGUAAUCCGCCUCUACCUCCCAUCAAAUCCUCCGCCCCAUCAAAUGGAGACUUAAAUCGAGCCCUAAUCUCCCAACCCUCUGCAAUCGACCGUGGUCCGAGCAUCCACCAAUGCUGCCAGAAGCUGACGCCGUCGACCCCGUUGCACAUGCCGUCCGAUGACUAAGCCUCUGCUCCCAUUCCCGGCGGCGAAGCCGAACGACGUUUCUCCCUCUCUUGUCUCAGGGUUUAGGUCUCUCUCACACAUUUUCUAUCUCUCUCUCUCUCAUACGCAAUUUCUAUAUAUCUUCUUCUCUAUCUAAUUGCUCUUCCUCUUUCUCUCCAACAAUGUGUCUUUCCCUCCCCAGGCCGAUUGCAGCUGUGAGUUUUCUUCCUUGCAUUAUUUGUCUCCAAAUGUAAGAUUGGGCUCUUUUUUUUGGAUUUCUAACAAUUUGCAACUUUGCUUUGUUUGUGAGGCUAUUGUUGUUGAUGAAUUUUGGGGCUAUUGCAGUUUUGAUGAAUUUGAAUAUGGUGGUGAUGGUUGCAGCUGUGAGUUUUCUUCCUUGCAUUAUUUGUCUCCAAAUGUGAGAUUGGGCUCUUUUUUUUGGAUUUCUAAAAAUUUGCAACUUUGCUUUGUUUGUGAGGCUAUUGUUGUUGAUGAAUUCUAGGGCUAUUGCAGUUUUGAUAAAUCAACGGGGUAUACAGAUCUCACACCCUCUCUAUCUCUUCUCUAUAUUUUUGGUGCAAUUAUGUACUUAGAUUUCAUGUAUAAAAGAAUAAAACACUUAGAGAGAGUUGGCAUGCUCUAACAACGAUUUGUUUAUCUGCUGCAGCUGAGAGGAGCAAAAAUUCUGAAAAUGAAUUCAAAACCCUCCCAAAUGGUCUCAAGUACUAUGAUUUGAAGACUAGAGACGGACUUGAAGCUGUAAAGGGAUCUCGGGUUAUAGUAUGAUUGUGGCACAGGUCUCUCUUUAUGUUUAUGCAGUUAACACUUGGCUAUGCUCCUAAUUGGAAUUGCCAAAAGAGAUACAACAACCCUAGAGGAAGAGAGCUGGCAGUGCUAGCACUGUGUCAAAAUGCAAUCACCCAUGCCAAUAAGACUUUAAGAGCAGUCGAUGUGAGCUUCCGCUAUCGGACACUCACAAAGGUGAUACCCUGAGGCUGCUCUACAUUUACAAAAGAUGGGGCAUCUUGCAUUUACACUAUCAAAGCGGUUGCUGAGAAAUCUGCAUGGCAAUUUGCGGAGGAAAAUAGCGUGGACAUAGUCGUGCUGAAUCCAGGAGUGGUGGCUGGUCCUAUUAUGGUGCAGCUUUUUAGAUGUUGUAGGAUUGUCAUAUGAAAAAUACUAUUAUGGUGUAGCUUUUUAGAUAUUCAUUAUGGUGUUGGGACAUGUUGUAAAACAAUGGAUCUUGUUUUGUGGAUGUUGGAUUAUUAGUUGUUAUCAAUGUUUAAAUGAGCAUUUUCAGUA